rnacentral:rRNA from 1 species
UACGUAGGGGGGCAAGCGUUGUCCGGAUUUAUUGGGCGUAAAGAGCUCGUAGGCGGUUCCGUAAGUCGAGUGUGAAAAAUCUGGGCUCAACCCAGUGGAGCACUCGAUACUGCGGUGACUAGAGUACGGUAGAGGAGUGUGGAAUUCCCGGUGUAGCGGUGAAAUGCGCAGAUAUCGGGAGGAACACCGGUGGCGAAGGCGGUUCUCUGGGCCUGACCUGACGCUGAGGAGCGAAAGCGUGGGGAGCGAACAGG